AUUGAUUUCAAAUUUGUAAAAUAUUUGUCAAAGGCUGGGGUUAUACAUGGAAGCGUGACUGAAAACCAUGGACAAAACGGUGGAGGCCAAGAUGACAUGACUGGGGAUGUCUUGGAACAAAAUGAAGGAGGAAAUACAAUGGAGACAUACACUGAGAUUCAGAAUAAGGAUGGGGUUAACGAUGGACCAGUUCCUGAAAACGGUGAAGGCAUAACUGGUGAAAACGUUGAAGGCAUAGCUGCAUCAAAGGAAUUAGCAAACGUCCAGCACGCCGUCGGUGUCCAGCACGCCGUUAGUAAGGAGAAAAUGGU